rnacentral:rRNA from 1 species
CGUUAUAACCGGCGAUUUCCGAAUGGGGAAACCCAGUGUGUUUCGACACACUAUCAUUAACUGAAUCCAUAGGUUAAUGAGGCGAACCGGGGGAACUGAAACAUCUAAGUACCCCGAGGAAAAGAAAUCAACCGAGAUUCCCCCAGUAGCGGCGAGCGAACGGGGAGCAGCCCAGAGCCUGAAUCAGUAUGUGUGUUAGUGGAAGCGUCUGGAAAGGCGCGCGAUACAGGGUGACAGCCCCGUACACAAAAAUGCACAUGCUGUGAGCUCGAUGAGUAGGGCGGGACACGUGGUAUCCUGUCUGAAUAUGGGGGGACCAUCCUCCAAGGCUAAAUACUCCUGACUGACCGAUAGUGAACCAGUACCGUGAGGGAAAGGCGAAAAGAACCCCGGCGAGGGGAGUGAAAAAGAACCUGAAACCGUGUACGUACAAGCAGUGGGAGCACGCUUAGGCGUGUGACUGCGUACCUUUUGUAUAAUGGGUCAGCGACUUAUAUUCUGUAGCAAGGUUAACCGAAUAGGGGAGCCGAAGGGAAACCGAGUCUUAACUGGGCGUUAAGUUGCAGGGUAUAGACCCGAAACCCGGUGAUCUAGCCAUGGGCAGGUUGAAGGUUGGGUAACACUAACUGGAGGACCGAACCGACUAAUGUUGAAAAAUUAGCGGAUGACUUGUGGCUGGGGGUGAAAGGCCAAUCAAACCGGGAGAUAGCUGGUUCUCCCCGAAAGCUAUUUAGGUAGCGCCUCGUGAAUUCAUCUCCGGGGGUAGAGCACUGUUUCGGCAAGGGGGUCAUCCCGACUUACCAACCCGAUGCAAACUGCGAAUACCGGAGAAUGUUAUCACGGGAGACACACGGCGGGUGCUAACGUCCGUCGUGAAGAGGGAAACAACCCAGACCGCCAGCUAAGGUCCCAAAGUCAUGGUUAAGUGGGAAACGAUGUGGGAAGGCCCAGACAGCCAGGAUGUUGGCUUAGAAGCAGCCAUCAUUUAAAGAAAGCGUAAUAGCUCACUGGUCGAGUCGGCCUGCGCGGAAGAUGUAACGGGGCUAAACCAUGCAC